UGCUCUGAGGAGUCACAGGGGUUGUUGGGGCCAGUCUAUGGGAAGGGACAGAAAGGCCUGGCUUUCGCCCCACCCCCUCUGACUCAGCUACUGGUGGCUGACUUUCUUUUCCAUUCUGUGUGUGCCGUUUCUGUCUCCGAGUUCGUGAGGAGAAAAAGACUUGAGUCUUGGGAAGGUCUGAAAACUGCCGAUGCAAAUCCAGCCUCUUUACAGAGGGGUUCAGAGAGGUAGAGCGAUUUGCCCGGGGUUGCCCAGCUUCUUAGUACGGGAGUCUGGACCGGGAGCCUCGCCCUUUCCCUGCUGCCUGGCACUGGGUAGAGAGGCAGGGAGGCCCUGAGAAGCAGGGAGAAAGCAGUAGGUGCCUCGGGCUCUUUGGUGUGCAAAGCAAAUGUCUCGACACACCUCUUGGGCCACAGAAAAUGGUGUCUCCCUUUGGUCACCAAGAACAGCAAUGCAAACGUGACCUGGUCCUGUGGUCCCUCUUCUAACUGGAUGAGAACACGUCUCUGCUGUAGGGUUUCAGGGUCGGGCGUGGGACCUCAGCCACUUCUCAGUUUCCCUGUAAAUGAAGUUUUUUUCUCUCCCUUUUUCUUGUCUAUUAUCAUUUUUAGGGUGGGCUUCAGGAGAGUGGAUUUAUGGAAGUAUACCCCAAGUCCGCCGUAUCUCCAACUAGUGGGAAUUUCAUAUUCAGCCGACGAGCAGCGGCCCCCAGGACCUCCACGCAGCCUCUUGUGUCGCGACCCCACGCACCUGAUCUCCUCGCAGCCUUCCUGGCCUCAGGUACCACAGCCCCUGCGCCACGGCUCCUUCGCUUCCAGGGGCCAAGACUUCCGGCUUCUGCGGUUUACCACGGGGAGGGGGGCAUAGACACGGGAAAUAAACGCCUGACUCAGCCUUGGUCUGCGUCUGCCUGGAAGGAGACGGAGAGACACGUCCACCUUACAGCUUCCCGGCCUCGCAGGCCUGCCAAGGAAUGUGGCCUGGGUGGGAGGGACGUCCACAGCUGUGCGCAGAGCGGUGCCCUCCAGGACCAGGCCUCCACCCGGUGGAGUGAGCCCAUGUGGCCGGUUUGGCCUUUGCGAGCAGGUCAAGGAAACUUAGGGGGGAAAAAAAAUAAUGCAAC
rnacentral:lncRNA from 1 species